UACGUAGGUGGCAAGCUUUGUCCGGAAUUAUUGGGCGUAAAGCGCGCGCAGGUGGUUCCUUAAGUCUGAUGUGAAAGCCCACGGCUCAACCGUGGAGGGUCAUUGGAAACUGGGAAACUUGAGUGCAGAAGAGGAAAGUGGAAUUCCAAGUGUAGCGGUGAAAUGCGUAGAGAUUUGGAGGAACACCAGUGGCGAAGGCGACUUUCUGGUCUGUAACUGACACUGAGGCGCGAAAGCGUGGGGAGCAAACAGG
rnacentral:rRNA from 1 species